UACGUAGGGGGCAAGCGUUGUCCGGAUUUAUUGGGCGUAAAGAGCGUGUAGGCGGCCUGAAAGGUCAGCUGUGAAAACUCGAGGCUCAACCUCGAGACGUCGGUUGAAACCGUAUGGCUAGAGUCCGGAAGAGGAGAGUGGAAUUCCCGGUGUAGCGGUGAAAUGCGCAGAUAUCGGGAAGAACACCUAUGGCGAAGGCAGCUCUCUGGGACGGUACUGACGCUGAGACGCUAAAGCGUGGGGAGCAAACAGG
rnacentral:rRNA from 1 species